rnacentral:rRNA from 1 species
GAUUCAUGGCUCAGGAUGAACGCUAGCGGCAGGCUUAACACAUGCAAGUCGAGGGGCAGCAUAAUGGAUAGCAAUAUCUAUGGUGGCGACCGGCGCACGGGUGCGUAACGCGUAUGCAACCUACCUUUAACAGGGGGGAUAACACUGAGAAAUUGGUACUAACUACCCCAUAAUAUCAUAGAAGGCAUCUUUUAUGGUUAGAAAAUUCCGAUGGUUAGAGAUGGGCAUGCGUU